GUCUGUACUUAACCUGAAACUGUUCUUAACCUGAAGCACCACUUUAGCUAAUGGGGCCUCCGGCUGCCGCCGCACAAUUUCUGUUCUCAUCCUGAAGCAAAGUUCUUAACCCGAGGUACUAUUUCUGGGUUAGAGGAGUCUGUAACCUGAAGCGUAUGUAACCUGAAGCGUAUGUAACCCGAGGUACCACUGUAAUCCAAUUCCCUCUCUCUGUCUCUAACCCACUCUGGCUCCUAUGCCCCCCACCCACAAGAAACCAACCGAACUAACGGUCUCUCUGUUUCCAACUGUCUUCCCCAACUGUCUAAACCUUUGGCUAAGCCUUUUAAAAAGAGGUAGGCUCUGCCUCUGGGCUUUGCUAUUGGUCUCCCUAUUAAUCCUUCUCUGCCCCUGUACAGACAUUUUCAAAAGGACGGGCAAACGCCACACCCAUUCAUCCCACUCGAGGGGGAUCGGAGCCACCUGUGCAAAGAGACAGGCACAAAACAGUCCGCUUCCACCACUGAAAUGAUCUGGGAAGCCUUUGAAGCAUGGGAAAAGCCACGGAUCAGGGAUCUCAGUCACUCAGGUGAGUAAACUGGUCACUUUUGUGAAACUAAGUGGGUGCAUUGCCACUCCAUCAGAUGCAUGAAUAUUAUUAUUUUUUAAAAAAAUUCUCUUUGCAAUCCGCUUGGAGUUUUGUUUUGUUUUUUAAUCAAAUGAUGUAUACAUGUUGUGAAAUAACUAAAUAUAUGAAUAAAUAGAACAGCACACUCGGGCUUUCUCUUGGCGAAAAGGAAAGGGGCUGGUUUCAACCAGGAGGGAAACAGAACUUCCUGGGACUCUUAGCUUUCCUCUUCUUUCUUUUCUUUUUAAAAAAGCAUCAAGUUACCAGUCCCUAAGGGACUUGGGUGGCGCUGUGGUCUAAAUCACAGAGCCUAGGGCUUGCUGAUUGGAAGGUUGGCAGUUCAAAUCCCCGUGAUGGUGAAGGGACAGGAUACCCAAAUCCUGUCUGUGAAAUCACCCCAGGCCUCAAAACUGUCCAAAACUCCUUUUGUCUUCUAAAAAUCCAAAACAGCUUUUCUCUGCUCUCCUCUGCUCUAUCACAAGAUGCUGUGGCAAAAGGCAAAAUGUUACUUUUAAAGGCUAAUGAAUAGACUUUGUCAUUGCCAAGAAUACUCAGGCCUGAGAAACGAAUCUUAUCUCAUUCAGUUGCAACACUUUUGGACAUCUUGAACCAUUCUCAUUCCCCUUUCCUGGGAAGGGUGCCAAGAGUCCACAAUAGUCCCAAGACAGCUUUCUGUUCAUGCUCAGAGGAACCUCAACAUGGGGCAGGACUCCUGAGGGAGGAGAAAGGGGGAGGGAACUAGAAAGGGGUAUAUAUGCUUGUGCACAUGAUUGUGAACUCGUGCAUGCUUUUUGUGACUUAUCACACUUGCUCCUUCUACCAGUUCAUGGAUGGUAGAAAUAAAACCUUUUUCUCCGAAACUAUUCCUUGAGUGUCUGUUGACUCCCACUUCCCUUUCCCAGGCGCAAUAUUUUUCCCACCCGAGGGCAAAGCCUCAUAAGGCUACAACGGGGUGAGCUCCCGUUGCUCUGUCCCAGUUCCUGCCAACCUAGGAGUUUGAAAGCACGUCAAAGUGCAAGUAGAUAAAUAGGUACCACUCCGGCGGGAAGGUAAACGGCGUUUCCGUGCGCUGCUCUGGUUCGCCAGAACUGGCUUAGUCGUGCUGACCACAUGACCCGGAAGCCCACCUCCAUAUCUGCCUUGGCAGGUCCAGAUCCCCUUUUCAUUUCGGCUAAUUGGGGCUAAGUUAAAGCCCUCUUUGGAAAAGAUGUGGGGAAUAAGCUGCUGAGAAAUUUGGCUGUUGGAGUCAAGGUUAGUGAUGAAAUUAAUUCUUGCCGUAGAGGAGAAUCAGAAGAGGAGACGGGGAGCUGUCUAUGUUUCUAUGGUUCUGGUCUCUGUUCUGUCCUCCUCAUUAUCCUGCACAUUUUUUAUUUUAUUUUUUAAACCAAUUUUAUUAGAGUUUAUAAAGAGAAAUACAAAACUUAAUACCAAAUCUCUUUUUUUAGCCAACGUUAAUCUAAGUUUUUAUUUAUUAUUUAUUUGGUGAAUUGAUAUACCGCCCUAAACCCAGAGGUCUCAGGGCGGUUCAAUGAAAUAAAUGAAAUGAAAUAAAAACAUAGAGGAAAAGUAAAAGUAAAGAAAGAGAAAAAAAGAGAAAGGUAAGAAGAAACAGAAAAGAGCUUCAAAGAGACAAUGGGAAAGAUAAAUUAUAGAAAUUAAAAUGCUUCCGAUAUGUCCAAUCAAUAUAAACAAUAAUCACUUCUGCAUGUUCUUGAACAGGAAAGGGAGCUUUUCUCAGCCGGAGAGGGAGAUCCCUGGGACUUUUCUGCAGUCUCUUGAUCCCCCUCCUUUGCUUCAGCCUCAGAGUCUGAACUGCUCUCUGUCCCUGGCUUUCCCUGCUCACUAAACCCUGUUGCCCCUUCAGCAUCCAACACACACUUCCCACACUUCUCCCUCUGACCUCUCCUUGGUGUUCCAUCACCAAUCCCCAGGCUCUUCUGGGGUUUCCCUCGGGGGUUCCCUGGCUGGGGCCUCCCACCACUCCUGGGAGCCAGUGUGGUGUAGUGGCUAAGAGCGGUGGACUCGUAAUCUGGUGAACCAGGUUCGCUUCCCCGCUCCUCCACAUGCAGCUGCUGGGUGACCUUGGGCUAGUCACACUUCUCUGAAGUUUCUCAGCCCCACUCACCUCACAGAGUGUUUGUUGUGGGGGAGGAAGGGAAAGGAGAUUGUUAGCAGCUUUGAGACUCCUUAAGGGGAGUGAAAAGCAGGAUAUCAAGUCCAAACCUCCUCCUCCUCCUCCUCCUCCUCCUCCUCCUCCUCCUCCUCCUUCUUCUUCUCUUUGUCCAGCCAUUCCCUGACAUCUUGCACCUCCCGCUCGCUGCUAGGGAUCUACAUCCACGCACCACAGCUUUGGACCAGUGCACCCUUCAGUUCCUCAACUGGAAACAUCAGGAGGCUGCAAAUCCUAGAAUCCUAGACUCGUCAAGUUGGAAGGGACCCGAGGGUCAUCAAGUCGAACCCCCUCCAAUGCAGAAAUCUUUCGCCCAACUUAGGACUCGAACCCACAACCCUGAGAUUCAGAGUUUCGUGCUCUACCUUUGCUGGGAAAUUAAAGACUCCAUUUCGGGGGUGGGGGAGUCAGGAAGCUUGUGGAAGUGCUGUGACGUGCCCCUUGGGUGGCAUGGCAGCUGUGACCCUUGCAGCGCAGGGGCUCAGCUGCAAAUCAUGAACCUGCACAAUAAGCUUCGUUCUCCAAAUGGACUGCAGGGCCAUCUCGCAGUAGCUGCAUGGAAGAUGCGGGCAGCCCCCAGAGGAGCAGCGUUCGAAUCUCGCUGGGCGCAUUUCGCAGCAGGCAACCGGCCUUGUGCCAGCAAGCGGAGAUGUUUGGUUAUCGUGGGCAAG